rnacentral:rRNA from 1 species
AGAGUUUGAUCCUGGCUCAGAACGAACGCUGGCGGCGUGCUUAACACAUGCAAGUCUAGCGAGAAAAGGGGCUUCGGGCCCUGAGUACAGCGGCGAACGGGUGAGUAUCGCGUGGGAAACCUGCCUUCGAGUGGGGGAUAACACUCCUAACGGGGUGCUAAUACCGCAUGACACCCUCGGAUCGCAUGGUCCGAGCGUCAAAGGUGGCCUCUACUUGUAAGCUACCGCUUGAAGAUGGUCCCGCGUCCGAUUAGCUAGUUGGCGGGGUAACGGCCCACCAAGGCGACGAUCGGUAGCUGGUCUGAGAGGAUGGUCAGCCACACUGGGACUGAGAUACGGCCCAGACUCCUACGGGAGGCAGCAGUCGAGAGGCUUCGGCAAUGGGGGAAACCCUGACCGAGCGACGCCGCGUGAGGGAUGAAGCUCUUCGGGGUGUAAACCUCUUUUCUGGGGGAAGAAACCUAUGGGGGUCGAACAGGGCCUCAUGGCUGACGGUACCCCAGGAAUAAGCUCCGGCUAACUCCGUGCCAGCCGCCGCGGUAAUA